rnacentral:rRNA from 1 species
CCUACGGGUGGCAGCAGUGAGGAAUAUUGGUCAAUGGGCGCGAGCCUGAACCAGCCAAGUAGCGUGAAGGAUGACUGCCCUACGGGUUGUAAACUUCUUUUAUAAAGGAAUAAAGUGAGGCACGUGUGCCUUUUUGUAUGUACUUUAUGAAUAAGGAUAGGCUAACUCCGUGCCAGCAGCCGCGGUAAGACGGAGGAGCCGAGCGUUAUCCGGAUUUAUUGGGUUUAAAGGGAGCGUAGAUGGGUUGUUAAGUCAGUUGUGAAAGUGUGCGGCUUAAACGUAAAAUUGCAAUUGAUACUGGUAGUCUUGAGUAUAGUUGAGGUAGGCGGAAUGCGUGGUGUAGCGGUGAAAUGCAUAGAUAUCACGAAGAACUCCGAUUGCGAAGGCAGCUUACUAAACAGCCACUGACGUUGAGGCGCGAAAGUGUGGGUAUCAAACAGGAUUAGAUACCCCGGUAGUC